rnacentral:lncRNA from 1 species
AUGACGCACAACAACGAGCAGAACACUUGUCGAUUAUGCGGUUCGAGUAGUGGAGUUUUCAUAUCAAUCCUCGACCACACAUAUGAAAAGUAUGUUCAGAAAAUUUCUGGUUUACUAAACAUCAUGAUUUAUAGCAACGAUCCACUCCCAAAAGUUCUCUGUCAUCGCUGUGUCAUAAAAAUUGAUGAUUUUCAAGUUUUUGUGGAUAGCGCUCACUUUACUCAGAAAGUUUUGAGAGAGAAAUUCUUUUCUAGUAAUACGCUGAAUGUAAGUGAUGACGGGAAAAAUCAUCCAUCUCAUCUUGCAAGUAAUGAGAAUGGAUUGAAUAGCAGUGCACUAUCAGAACCACCUACCAUUAAUCCUCCUGCAAUAAUUUCAUUUAAUUUACUAACUUGUUCAAAUUCGAGCGAUGACUCUUUGGAAAGACGUAGGGUUGACAGUGGCUCAAAUUUUGCAGCACAGCAAUUAGACCCUGAACCUUUGAGCCUUGAAUACCGGAAAGAACAGACCCCUACUCCAUCUCUUACAAGACCACCUGGGCCCAGACGGGGAAGUCGACCUUUCCCAAAGAAACCAGGCAAUAUGAAUUCAUCUCAAAAUCAUACUCUUGAAGACAAAAGUCAAAUUAGUAAACCUGAUGCAGAACGAGUCCCAAAUGUAACAAAUAGUACCUUACCUGAAGCUGCAGAGAAAGGCCACGAAAGUGAAGGAAGCUCUACCACUGAUGAAAAGAAAUUAUCAGCCAACUCAUCUCCCCCAACCAAAAAAAAGAAGAAGUAUCUAAGCCCAUUCGAAGUUCCCUCUCGAAGAAAACGGAACCGCAGAAAGCCGAUAGAUGCGAUUCAAAGAAAGAAGAAAGUCAAUAAAAUCGAGUCCAGCAGUGAUGAAGAUACCUCUAAGCCAGCAAAAAAAUUAACCUCAAUUCCAGAGGAAGACUUAGAGAAAUACUUCAUUCUUACCAAAAUUCCCAGCCAGGGAAUGAUAUACACUUGCAAAAAAUGUGAAGCCAUUUUCAUGACAGCCAAGGCGUCAAGUGGCCAUACGAAAUGUCUCAGUGCAGAGCAAGUUAGUGAGGAUGAGCAAGGUGGAAAUUCAUCCUCCUCAGAAUCAAGUAGCGGCGAGCCUUCUGAUGCCAGCAAGAGCGAUGAACCAGAAAAAGAAUCUAUCUACCAGUGUUCCUAUUGUGACAAACCGUUCUCACGGAAUGUCGUUUGUUUGCAGCAUGAGCAGACGCAUUUACGUAAUAUGACUGUGACUGAUGAUGAGGAAGAUAUUUACUUAGAACCAAAAUCAAAAUCUAAAAAGAAAGUUGUCAACAAGUUUCUUGUUGAGAAGUUUCUCCUCCGUUGAUUUCGAUUGAUUUAAAUUUUUGAUAAAUUUCCUUGUGCUUUGAUCAAAGUCAUAUGUACGCGCUGGAGUGAAUUCAGUGGCCACAAACUUACUCAGUUGCAAUUUAUUGCAAAUACUUUUUAAAGUAUGCGUCUCAAGCUUUCUUCCAGAAUGGCAUUUUUGAGUUAUCUGCUUGGCUUUCCCUUUUCCACUACCUAAGUAUUGAAAUUUUACGGCACCAAGUAGAAGUUGUAUCUAUUUGAAAAAGUAUGCAUCCUAUAAAGCAACACAUUUUGGAGGUACUGUAUUCUUCAAAUUAGAUUACGUCUGCUUAUAACGUUCAAUAUGUGCUUUAGUGCCGCUCCUCCCUCCCCUGUGCAGUUUCAGGGAAAAAAUUUUUGCACUAAAAUUUAUGAAGCUAACUUUUUAAUGCUGUAUGAGAGAUCUUGAAUACCCUGCUCCAUUUUCUCCUGCAAAGUCCACCUUCCUGCUGCCCUACCACUUUGGUGGAGUGAAGAGCUUUUUUAGAACUCGCUUUAGAUAAAUUGUCAGUUACUUACCUUCCAUAUUCAAGUGACUGCGCUGCCGUCAUCCAGUAGUGAUUGAGGAUUGACCAAGUGUGACAACGGUGGUACCGAAAACCAAUUUUCUCCUCAGAGGAGGUAUUGCCAAGUUGAUCUACUGUGUGCGACAGUCAGAAGUAAACAACUGCCAACUUAUUAUCUGACGCGAGUUCUAACCAUCUUUUAAUUUUCAAGAAGUAUUAGCUUCCAGUAUGAAAAAAUACUCGUGUAAAUCUAUUGAAACCCUCUGAAAUUUGAAAUUUCUGUUUUUUUUUUUUAAAAAUAGACAUCACUUGCUGCAAUAUUGCCAACUUUUUUCACCUCAUCACAUGGAAAUUUGAUUAAAAAAUAAUAAUAAUAAUAAAAAAAAAACUUUGCCAUGCUUCCAUAUUAAAACAAGUAUAUGAGAAGAGACAAAUUUUUACUAGUUCCAUUCUAUCUCUGGAAGAUGUUGAAUUCUAGGGCUUGGGCAAUUGCUUUAAAAGAAAGGAAGUUAGCAAUCUUAUGUUGGUUUCUUUUUUUGGAAGACGCACAUACCUACUUACUUCAGUAAUUGAGACUAAGCUAAGCUUGUUUGGUCAGAAAUUGACUACUGAAGCAGAAGAAAAUUGGAACUUAAAAAAAGUAACGAAUAUAAAAGAUUUUUGGAGUCCCGUUUUUUUAUUUUCAUAUUCUUUUGAGUUCAUGUUCAUAGGAUGGUCCUGGUGUUUUUCAUGUGAAGGAGAAUUGUUUUUGAUCUCUGAAAAUGUCAAAAUGAAACUUUGCUGUAUCAGUUUUCUAAUGUCCUAUUGUAACUAUGCAGAUAUCUGUGUGGGUUUGUAUGUUACAGCAGUCUGCUAAAAAUUUCUAGCAAGCUUUUGAAGUUUUUCCAUGGGUUCAAGGUAAUCUAUGCGCACGCUGUGAGUUUUGCUUUAUGUUUUUUUAACCUGCUAAUAUUAUGGUUGCUUCGUAACCGCAGGAACCUUAAAACAGGGACUUGUAGGGAUCCAGCAUUAAAUAAAUAAAUUCAAUUGUAUUGAACAGAAUUCUGUCACCAAAAUGUUCAUCUCAAAUUUUUUGUUUGGAUGUGGUAAAAGAAAGUAUCACUUAAAAGUAUCUUUGUAAAAUUACAGAAUGGACUUAAAUUUGUCUGUCCUUUUUUGUUAGCAACCCUGAUUAGUAAGAAAUUCAUAUUUGUGACACUUCAAAAAAAUGAACCAUAACUUCUCUAGAGAAUACUUAGUAAGUAAACUCAAGUGUCUCAAAAUAAUCUUUCUUUAGAUAAAUGUGUGGUGUCAGUCAAAAUUUUUUAAAUGACCGAAAGGCCUACUGUUUUGCAAGAUUGAACUUGAUAUGAUUGAAGUUGUAAACUUUCAUUUUUUCUUCGAGCAGUUGUACUCUGAUUUCAAGUCUAAAAUCGUUCCCUUAUUUUCAAUCUUUUAAAGUCACCAUAAUUCGUUGUGGAAGUGUAAAAUUGAUUAGAUAGUGUUCUCAGCGACAGAAAUUGUCCUAAAAAAUAAAGUGAUUUUCCCCUUCACAUCAUCGUCAUUUGAGUUUUCUGGUAUCGCACUUGUUCGUAGAAAUUAAGGAGCAGUUCCGAUCUACACAUCCACUUUUUUCAUACUAUUGAUACGGAAAAUUAUUUGGGAUAAAUUUAAAACAUAUUUUACUCUGUUCUUCAUUUUUUUACAAGAGCAUCAUUUUGUUGAAUAAUUUGUUUCGAAACAUUCCCUACUCGAAAAAAAAAAAUAAAUAUCCAGGAGACAAAAACAACUAAUUUCGGCGGCAAAUUUUUAGAGAAUGGGAACCAUCCUUGGCGCAUGUAAUUUAGUUCUCAAAGAGAGCCCAGUAGCAAAAAAUAUAAAAUCUUUUUAAUACUUUACCUAAUGGUGCAAUAUGAAGUUUUUAAAUCCUAGAACUCUCUAAGGAAGUAUUUUAUUCUGUUCAAGUGGGAAAACUAGUACCUCAUCAUUUUUUAAUUAAAGAUUGUUUGCCUAAAAUUUCAGUCAUUAGUCUCAAAAAUAAAAGAAGUAGUUGAUGGAGACUACCAAAAUAUUAUUAAAGAUUGUUAAGAUUUCUCAGUUUUAAAUCAUCGAAAGGUUAUUACCUGGUUUUAAGUGCUGAAAAAAAACCUCACUUUUGUGUUUAAUUCUUAAUUGAUCCUUUAAGGUAUUAUUUUAACGAAAUCUUGUUUCAUAUUUCAAGGAUAUGAUUAUUAUAACGUUUUCUGUGAGGAUUAUUCGUUGUUCCUCCUAGAAUGUUAUUUUAAAUGUAUUAGGAAACUUUAAUUUGUUGUGUUUUUGUAUCAGACCCGUAUGUUUUUAAAAAAAAUUGUUGUUAUCAGUUUUUUCAUUUUGAAUUCAUCAAGAAAUCAUUUGUCUUUACCUACCAAUUGUAUUCUAUGUACCUAUGUUAUUUUUUUUCUGUUAAAACUUUCGGACUGCAUAUUUGUGACUGAGCAGCUUUAAAAAAAGUGUAUAUUCAUAUACUACUGGUUACUGAUGUACCUUUUAUGUUUAAUUUUCCAAUGUCAUAAUAAUGGAUGACUGAUUCUUUCGUAAGUUCUAAUGUGAAUCUUUUUGCUUCACUCAGCCCUUCAUACAUUCAUUUAAUUAUUAGUUUUCUGCCACAAUAGCGUUUUUUGCAUAUAUCGUAAGAGAGACGACAUUUCUGUGAAGAUAUUUUUUCCUUAACCCCAUAAGUUGAAAAAAAAAAAAUAUUUCAUCAAGGAUAAACUGCACUGGCAUCAAGAUAAGAAAAAGAGAAAUUUUUGAGGUCAAGCAAAGGCACUCCUUCAGUAUUUGAGGCAGUGUGUGCAGCAAGACUGUGAAAAGAAAAAUAGCAUUAAAUAGUGAGUAUUGUGCAACAUCCCCAGCUUCAGGAAAUGCAAACGACUCUCAAUUUUCUAAAAUAGGUAUACAGAGAAAAGUCAGGCCUUCCUAUCCCUUGUCUGUACUUUGAUUAUUUUGAAUUAAAAUUAAACAAUUUUAUCAACUUCUGCAGGGUGGUCCAUAAGUCAUGCAUUACCACCGCACCAGGCAUUACCCAUGUAACUUUUGAACGAUUAAGAUAGAGACUUGACAUUUUGUAAACGCUCCUAUAUGAAAGGAAGCUACUUUUGUGACGAUCCAAACUUUAAACGGUAUAACUCUGAAAAGGGGAAGAAACACCAGGGAUUAUGGGGGUGGUGCUGGACUUUAGGGUAACUCUCCCAGGUUAUUAGGUGGCAUUUUUUGAAGUGAUUCUGGCAUUACAAAAAAUUCAUUUUCUGUCUGAGGAGAGUGAUGCAUAUAUUGCUUCCCCUUAAUAUUAUUGAGGUUUCCAUGGAAGUAUUAAUUAGUUACGUUGGAGCUUCAAUCAUAUAUCUAUGUUCAACCUGAAAUGUGAAUUAUUGCUUUCUAAGCCAAGCAACAAUCAAGUCAAAAUGAAGAUGAAGUUAACAUUUUUUCCUAAAUUCAGACAUUACCACAAGGAAAAAUGUAAAAUUUUUUGUCCGAGACGGAUUUGUAAUUUUUUUGACGGAGAGAAAGUUGCUUGAGCGGAUCAAGUUUUUUUGAAAGACCUGAUUAAAUUGAUUUUUUUUUUUUUGAGGAAACAGGCUAAAAGAAAAAUGUAAAAAAUAAACCGAUCCAAAAUGGAUGAAUGAUAAAGUACGAUAACUUCUUAAAAGUAGGCUUAGCAGUAAUUCAAAGUAACCAACAAGAAUUUUUGAUAAUAAUUACUUGUUCCUUGUAAAAAUUCAUCAGUGCCCCAAGAAUUCGAUUUUUUUCAUAGUAUAUUUUUUUUUCACUUUUAAAAUCAAUCUACUUCCUAAGUAAUUUUUGACUUUCGCCUGGGAGUGAUCUGUCAGGAUUUUUCUAUCAUUCCUGUUGGUGAUUGCUUUCACUAUCAAGGAAGUUCACUGUCAUGAAAAUUUUCAUAAUCCUGGGAAUGCUAGGUAUUAUGAUUAACCACGAGGAGUAACUGAUACAAAUAAUAUCUACAUUAUUGAUUUCCUCUCAUCACCAUUUCUAUAAAUCGUACACUUUUGUUUUGCUCUGUUAAAUUUUGAUUUCAAUCUGUUUUUUUUUUAUUAGCAUAAUUAAAUGAAGCAGAUCUACUACAAAUCCAUUCAGUUUCUUCUUUUCCAGCUCUCAGUUCCUACCACUUAAAUUCCUUACUUUUUCUAUUAAUGAAUAGAUAAUGAGACUACCAGACCACGUAUCUCAUUUGCGGCGUUUAAAAAGCUCUGCUCCCAUUUUAUUUUUUUGAGAGAGAACCAAUCAAUUUCAUUUUUUGAAGUUUUCGCGGAGUUUUCUUCGCAAGAAGAAAAAUUAUGGUAGUUUUCAAAAAUUGACGAUAAGUGGCUUUUCCCUGUAAAAAGAAAGUAUGACAGGAAGUCUACAUUGCCGCAAACCGAGAUACGUGGUCUAGUAGUUU